rnacentral:misc_RNA from 1 species
CGAAAUGCGAUAUGUAGUGUGAAUUGCAGAAUUACGUGAAUCAUCGAAUCUUUGAACGCAUAUGGCACCCGAGACUUCGGUCGAGGGUAUAUCUGUCUCAGAGUCGGCGUAAAAACCACCCCAAAGGAAAAACGUUUGAUCGUUUUACCGGCUGGGGGAGCUGGCCCUCCCGGCGCUCGUGCAGGGGGACUUCUGUCCCCCCCGCCCCGCCCGCCGGGUUGGCUGAAGGUCAGAGACGGGGGACCGGCCGCGCCGGGCAGCCAUGAUUUUGGUGGAUGGACCUCGCGUCCGUACAACAUCGAUCGUGCUCCCAUACCGCAAGGUAACAGCGCCGUGUCGUGACAUGGGCCCCGCCUUAGCAGGAAUACCCUAUUAUUAGAUUCCGACCUGAGAUCAGGUAAGAUCACCCGCUGAACUUAAGC